UCCCGAGUAAGCUCAUAGGAAGAGCUUUGGAAGAGACAAGGUUGCAGGUUCGAGUCCUGCCUCGGGAA
rnacentral:tRNA from 1 species